rnacentral:rRNA from 1 species
AGGACGAACGCUGGCGGCGUGCUUAACACAUGCAAGUCAAGGGGGCCCAGCAAUGGGCAACCGGCGAACGGGUGCGUAACACGUGAGCAACCUACCGAACUGUGGGGGAUAGCCGGCCUAACGGCCGAGUAAUACCGCAUACGCUCUCAGGGAGGCAUUUCUUUGAGAGGAACCUACGGGACAGAUCGAGGGGCUCGCGGCCUAUCAGCUAGUUGGCGAGGUAACGGCUCACCAAGGCAACGGACGGGUAGCUGGUCUGAGAGGAUGGCAGCCGCUAGUUGGGACUAGGAGAUACCGGCCAGACCUCGACGGGAGCAGCAGGUGGGAAUCGUGCGACUAG